rfam:Triticum aestivum genome assembly, contig: Triticum_aestivum_CS42_TGACv1_scaffold_249214_3DL
UACGUACUCCUUCCGUCUCAAAAUUCUUGUCUUAGAUUUGUCUAAAUACGAAUGUAUUAAGUCACAUUUUAGUAUUAGAUACAUCUAUAUCUAGACAAAGCCACGACAAGAAUUUUGAGACGGAGGGAGUAGUUG